rnacentral:rRNA from 1 species
CCUACGGGUGGCAGCAGUGAGGAAUAUUGGUCAAUGGGCUUACGCCUGAACCAGCCAAGUCGCGUGAGGGAAGACUGCCCUAUGGGUUGUAAACCUCUUUUGUCAGGGAGCAACGCCGGCUACGUGUAGCCGGACUGAGAGUACCUGAAGAAAAAGCAUCGGCUAACUCCGUCCCAGCCGCCGCGGUAAGACGGGGGAUGCGAGCGUUCGCCGUAUUUAUUGGGUUAAAGGGGUGCGUAGGCGGAAUGCCAAGUCAGCGGUAAAAUCGCGGGGCUCAACCUCGCGCCGCCGUUGAAACUGGCGAUCUUGAGUGGGCGAGAAGUAUGCGGAAUGCGUGGUGUAGCGGUGAAAUGCAUAGAUAUCACACAGAACACCGAUUGCGAAGGCAUCUCACGAAUCCGCGAUUGACGCUGAUGCACGAAAGCGUGGGUAUCAAACAGGAUUAGAUACCCCAGUAGUC